rnacentral:rRNA from 1 species
UAUGUGAUCGUCUCUCGCAUAUCAAUAAGCGGAGGAAAAGAAACUAACAAGGAUUCCCCUAGUAACGGCGAGUGAAGCGGGAAGAGCUCAAAUUUGAAAUCUUAAAGGGUUUCCCUUUACGAAUUGUAGUUUAAAGAAGUGUUUUCUGUUGAGGUUUUGGUAAAAGUUCUUUGGAAUAGGACAUCAUAGAGGGUGAGAAUCCCGUAUUUGACCUUUACUUUCAACUUUGUGAUACACUUUCAAAGAGUCGGAUUGUUUGGGAAUGCAGUCCAAAAUGGGUGGUAAAUUUCAUCUAAAGCUAAAUAUUGGCGAGAGACCGAUAGCGAACAAGUACCGUGAGGGAAAGAUGAAAAGAACUUUGAAAAGAGAGUUAAACAGUACGUGAAAUUGUCAAAAGGGAAGCGUUUGACACCAGUGUUGUUUUUCUGAAAAUCAAUUAAAGAACUGUUUAUGCUAAGUUGUUUAGACUUUAUCAGCUAUCUGUUUAGUUUUGAGCUUUUCUUUAAUGCACUUUUCAGUUAACAAGUCAACAUCAAUUUCUUUUGCUGUAAAAAAGCUUGAGGAAGGUGGCUUGAGAUUCGUCCUUAAGUGUUUAUAGCCUCUUGCCUAUGCAGUCGGAGAGAUUGAGGUCUGCAGCGUAGAUCCUUCGGGGCUAAAUGCAUUUGUGCUAAGUUAUAGCAUUUUAUAGACAACUUGUUGACUAUGAUUUGUCUUGUAGCUUACUCGCUUAUGUUAUUUUACCUACGCUUAGGAUGUUGAUAUGCAUGACUGAUAU